rnacentral:lncRNA from 1 species
CUGGGCCACAACUGUUCCUGAGUCUCCCUUUCUAUAUGCUUCCCGAUUGCCAUGAGGACACAGCUAGAGGACAAAAUCUUUAAAACACAGAGCAAGUUCUCCCCAGAUACCAAAUCUACCAGCAACUUAACCUUGACUUCCAACCCUCCAGAACUAUGCCUCUGGCUGUUAACCAUGACAACAAAAGCAACAUGAAACAGUGUAUGGCCAAAUCCUAGAAAGAAGCAACCCAGGCAUGAUGAAGAAAAGAAGAUAACCCCACUGUCAACUCACCAGCAAGGCCAGCAUUCAGCAGGAGUGGGAGAGUGGAUUUUCCCAGGAUGACCACUAGCAUUACAAUCCCCUGUGGGAUCAAGAUCACCAUGUAGAUACACGGAAGGCAAAGGGGCACGCUAGGAAACAGUGAACUUUGGACCCAGAUAGACAAAAAUUUGAGCCAACUUCACCUCAUGCUUGAAGUGUCACUGGCCAUGUUGUGCAACACCCCCCUAGCUGCAUCCCUUCAGGGUAUAAGAAGAUAGCAGCUGUGCCUCCACUUACCUUAGAGGAAUAAAUGCCAAAUGACUGAAUCUGCAGCUGCUCCUGUCAGACGCUCAGCCCCGUGGACAAUAAACCUCUCCCAAGACCACCAGUCCUGUGCUCUCACGGUCACUUGCAAACUCAGCACGUUCUCCAC